UAGAUAAGCAAAGCUCGUACAAUAAGCUAAACAGUGAAUCUAUAGUGAAAGCAAAUCCGAAAAAAAUCCCAGAAAUAGUAAAAGGAUAUAUUGAAAGAAGGAAGGUAGAAGAAGUCGUGUCCGAACCUAUAUUCUUGACCAAGAUCAAUAGCCAAGUCGAUUAAGCCAUGUCUGUCUAUUCGUCUGGCCUUACGAAAGCGAAAAAAAAAUAAAAUCGUAGAUGUUUGAAAACUAGAAAACUAGGAUUAAGCAUGAAUAAUCUUGAAAUGGCGGCGCAUUUUGAGGUGGUAUUAUUAUACGGCCACACCCACUCUUACGACCAAGACCCGCUCAACAACAACGUUCUGUAAGAACGCGGAGAUCACGGUAACUAAAAAUGUUGAAAAAUUCCCAGAAAUGUAAAUAUGAAUAUAUAUACACUUAUCUAUUUA